rfam:Puccinia graminis f. sp. tritici CRL 75-36-700-3 supercont2.32 genomic scaffold, whole genome shotgun sequence.
GACUCCAUGGCGCAAUGGUAGCGCGUUCGACUCCAGGAUCGGUUCAUCGAAAGGUUGCGUGUUCAAGUCACGUUGGGGUCA